AGAGUUUGAUCAUGGCUCAGAUUGAACGCUGGCGGCAUGCCUUACACAUGCAAGUCGAACGGUAACAGGUCUUCGGAUGCUGACGAGUGGCGAACGGGUGAGUAAUACAUCGGAACGUGCCCGAUCGUGGGGGAUAACGAAGCGAAAGCUUUGCUAAUACCGCAUACGAUCUACGGAUGAAAGCAGGGGACCGCAAGGCCUUGCGCGAACGGAGCGGCCGAUGGCAGAUUAGGUAGUUGGUGGGAUAAAAGCUUACCAAGCCGACGAUCUGUAGCUGGUCUGAGAGGACGACCAGCCACACUGGGACUGAGACACGGCCCAGACUCCUACGGGAGGCAGCAGUGGGGAAUUUUGGACAAUGGGCGAAAGCCUGAUCCAGCCAUGCCGCGUGCAGGAUGAAGGCCUUCGGGUUGUAAACUGCUUUUGUACGGAACGAAAAGGCUCUGGUUAAUACCUGGGGUCCAUGACGGUACCGUAAGAAUAAGCACCGGCUAACUACGUGCCAGCAGCCGCGGUAAUACGAAGGGUGCAAGCGUUAAUCGGAAUUACUGGGCGUAAAGCGCGCGUAGGUGGUUCAGUAAGUUGGAAGUGAAAUCCCCGGGCUCAACCUGGGAACUGCUUUCAAAACUGCUGAGCUAGAGUACGGUAGAGGGUGGUGGAAUUUCCUGUGUAGCGGUGAAAUGCGUAGAUAUAGGAAGGAACACCAGUGGCGAACGCGACCACCUGGACUGAUACUGACACUGAGUGCGAAAGCGUGGGGAGCAAACAGGAUUAGAUACC
rnacentral:rRNA from 1 species